rnacentral:lncRNA from 1 species
AUGCAAAAACUGCAUCAUGAUCAGAGGCAGCUGGACCUGUUCUUUGGUCUCCUCGGUGGGGUCAUGAUUGUAACCUCUGACCACAGGCCAGGAGAAACCAUGAACCUCACCGUGGAGGAAUUUCAUUCCUUUAAAGAGGGCAGAGAUGGCCAUGACAUUUGUGUGAGGGUUGUAGUAGUCAUUGUUUUGUUUGCAUUUGUCUGUUUAUAUAUAUAUAGUCGUACACUUAUUCAUAAUUAUCUUACUUCACAGGUAAAAAAGCACAAAACAUGUGCAACAUUCGGUCAUGUGAUACUCUCCAUCACAAAGGGGGAGUAUAAUUGCAUGUCCGAAUUUCUAAAAAUCCGUGGAAGCUUUGAGGGGAGCCAGUCAGCCCUCUUCUUUUUUAAUUCGAAGGGUGAGGUGUUCAAGGGCCUCCUCAAAGCUUUCACUGCUGCAUGGGAGUUUGUGGGCCUCCCAAAACCGGCCCCAACUUUCAUGGCCUUGAGGACCUCUAUGUCCACUCAGGUAAGUGUACAUUUUGAUACACACACACACACACACUCUCUCUCUCUGUCAUACAUUCUCUCAAACACACACACACACUUUCUCACACACUCAUGCAUGUUUCUGUGAAUUGUGGGGACUUUCCAUAGUCUUCUGUUGUUUUGAUACUGACCAAACACCAUUUUUAUCCCAUAACCCAAUCCUUACAGAAAACCUGUUUGCAUUGUUACAUUUUCAGAUAAACAUCAAAUAAUAUUUUAUUUUAAUUUUUCCCUCAUGGGGACUAAAGGCUGGACCCCACACAAUUUCAAAAGUUUCAGGUUUUAUUAUACUUAAGGAGACAAUGUGUUCAUCUUAAUGUGGUAUAAACAAGUGUGUGCAACACAUGCUUUGUCCUUCUCUCUCUCCCCCCUUCUCUCUCUCUCUUACAUACACACACUUUCUCUUUCUCUCUCUCGCUUUUAACUCACACACACGUUUAGGUGCUUUUUUGGCAUUACAAAUAUUUGUACAUUCGCAUUUAUUUGCAUAAAGUAGAAGUAAAUAAAAGUAAUACAGUAAACGGUAAGUAACACGCUAAAAUAAAAAGCAUUAGUAAAGUGUGCAGGAGAUGGACUGGGGGUCACUUAU